UACGUAGGUGGCAAGCGUUGUCCGGAUUUACUGGGCGUAAAGAGCGCGCAGGCGGUCGUUCAAGUCGCGUGUGAAAGCCCCCGGCUCAACUGGGGAGGGUCACGCGAUACUGAUCGACUCGAAGGCAGGAGAGGGUAGUGGAAUUCCCGGUGUAGUGGUGAAAUGCGUAGAUAUCGGGAGGAACACCAGUGGCGAAGGCGGCCAACUGGUCCGGUACUGACGCUGAGGUGCGAAAGCGUGGGGAGCAAACAGG
rnacentral:rRNA from 1 species